CACGUAGUUAGCCGCGACUUUCUGGCGGGGCACCAUCAGUCAGCACCCAUUUCCUGAUGCUGCCUUUUUUCCCCCGCAACAGAGCUUUACGACCCGAAGGCCUUCUUCACUCACGCGGCAUCGCUCGUUCAGGCUUGCGCCCAUUGACGAAAAUUCCCUACUGCUGCCUCCCGCAGGAGUCUGGGCCGUGUCUCAGUCCCAAUGUGGCCGUCCGCCCUCUCAGGCCGGCUAUGCAUCAUCGUCUUGGUGGGCCUUUACCCGCCAACAAACUAAUGCACCGCAGGUCCAUCCGCGCCCCAUCCCCCGAAAGGAUGUUUCACAGAAAGAAGAUGCCUCCUUCCUGUACAUCGGGAUUUGUUCUCCGUUUCCAGAGCGUAUUCCCGGUGCACGGGCAGGUUCCCUACGUGUUACUCACCCGUUCGCCACUAGAGACCCGAAGGUCUCUCGUUCGACUUGCAUGUAUUAGGCAUGCCGCAGCGUUCAUCCUGAGCCAGGAUC
rnacentral:rRNA from 1 species